rnacentral:rRNA from 1 species
GACGAACGCUGGCGGCGUGCUUAACACAUGCAAGUCGAACGGAAAGGCCCUGCUUUUGUGGGGUGCUCGAGUGGCGAACGGGUGAGUAACACGUGAGUAACCUGCCCUUGACUUUGGGAUAACUUCAGGAAACUGGGGCUAAUACCGGAUAGGAGCUCCUGCUGCAUGGUGGGGGUUGGAAAGUUUCGGCGGUUGGGGAUGGACUCGCGGCUUAUCAGCUUGUUGGUGGGGUAGUGGCUUACCAAGGCUUUGACGGGUAGCCGGCCUGAGAGGGUGACCGGUCACAUUGGGACUGAGAUCCGGCCCAGACUCCGACGGGAGGCAGCAGUGGGGAAUAUUGCACAAUGGGCGGACGCCUGAUGCAGCAACGCCGCGUGCGGGAUGACGGCCUUCGGGUUGUAAACCGCUUUCGCCUGUGACGAAGCGUGAGUGACGGUAAUGGGUAAAGAAGCACCGGCUAACUACGUG